rnacentral:lncRNA from 1 species
UUUUAUUUGAAUAAUUAUGCCACAGUUUCAGUUUUUCUUUCUAUAUAGUAAUUGAAGAAAUAACACUCGAAACAGAAGAGAAAGGAAAGAUUGAAGGGAAACGAAGUUAUGGGAGCUAAUAAGAAUGUUUUGAAAACAUAUCGUGAAGUUUCUUUGCAUAAUUCUCCAGAUGAUUGUUGGGUAAUUAUCAAUGCUAAGGUAAGUAGAGAACUUUCACUUUUUUACCCUUUCUAAUUCCCCCUUGGGUCUAAUAAAAAUUUUCCAUUUUGUAGCGAAAAAAACUAGGUUAAAUUAUACUCUCUCUAUUUCAAAUUAUAUAUCUUAUUGGAGCAGCCCGAUGUAUAAAGUAUCACGUAUUCACGCAGGAUUCGGGGAAGGAUCGCACCCCAAGAGGGUGUGAUGUAGACAGUCUAUCCUAAUGCAAAUAUUAGUGGCUGCUUCCACGGCUCGAACUCGUGACUUAUAAGUCACACGGAGACAACUUUGUCGUUGCUCUAAGGCUCCCUUCUAUAUGGCUUAUUAUAGCAAAAUUCUGAUAUGAUUACAUUUUUUAUAAUAAAUUUGUAUGUUCGGAAAUCACGUAAAAGUGUUAUGAUAUGCAGCUAUACAUUUUGAAAUGUUUUACUAUGGAUAUAACUAAAGUAAUUUGAUUAGUGGAAUAGCAAAUUAAAUAAGAUAUCUAGCUUAGAACAUAGUGAAAUGUAUAUUUUUAUGUAUCUUUCUAGGAGAGUUAAUUUGUAAGGGGUAGCAUGAUUUACUUAAAGGAGCCAACCAAAACUAAUUGUUGUUUAAAAGGCCAGUUGUGAAACUUGAUAUGCAUAAAAAAUUACUCCUAGUACUAUUUUACUAUACUAGUUUUAGGGUAUGCGCAUGUACCUUAUCUCAAUGAGUAACCUCUUUUUUGAAUAUUAAAGUCUUUCUUUGAGUCAUAAAAUAAAAGGCAUAAAUUUUGAGGAGGACGAAUAUUGAUUAUAUAUGAAGAAGAUUGAUUAUAUAUCACUAACUCAAUAAAUGAAGAAACUGUAUAAUAGAACUCCUCAAUUAUUAGUUAUUAUCCUACUGUGGUUGUAUGAUGGUUUUUGUAGGAAUAUUUUAUGAAUAUUAUUGUUAUUUAUACCUACUGAAAAUUAAUAACAUAAAGAUGCUUUUAUCAUGAUUUUUAAAAAUUUAUGAAGUAAUAUAAAUUGAAAAAAUGACUCUAUUAGUCUUCUAGAAAUUAAAGAAUAACGUAGUUAGCCUACGAUUCAGGGAAAAAAUGGUAAGUGACAACAUAAAUUCUGAAAAGACUAAUAUUGAGUUAAUAUUUUUUAAAAGAAGUAACUUAAUUUAUAUAAAAUAUAAUAAGUUGUCAUUAGUUAGAAUAUAUUCUGUCUUCAACUGUUCCAUCCUUAUUGCUUUAAGUUUUCUCUUGGCCAAUUUAAAGUUACUAUACUAUAAAUGAUUUUACUUUAUUUUUAUAUCCUAAGAGUUUUGUCUACUUAAAAAAAAAUUAUUGUGCGAUAAUUAGUUUAAAAAAGAAUUGAAUCUUUUGCUAUAGUUAAUUUUUAGAAUGUAAUCGUUUUUUCGUAAUUCUAAAGGAAAUAGUGUAUUUUUCUGCAAAUUCUAAGUAUUAGUUCAUUCUGAGUUUCGAUUGUGCAAUAAAAAUUCUAUUCUUAAAGGGUGAAAAUUUAUCACAUUUUACUUUGGAUCUUUGUAUUUGAAGAAUCAUUAUUAUUGACUAUUGCUAAUCACCUCUAUCUCUUAUAAGUUUUGCUAGUUUUUUGUUCUAAUUCAAUAUCGUUUUUUAAUAUUAUAAAAAUGACAAAUAAAUAAUAUUAUUUGCGUAGGAAAGUAGUUCAACUAUAAUAGUAUAGAAAUUAGAAAUUAUCAUUAAAAAUUCAUCAUUGAUUAAUACCGCUAUGUUUAACUAUUUAUCUUUAAAUUUAUCAUUAAUUAACAUUNNNNNNNNNNNNNNNNNNNNNNNNNGUUAGAACACUAUUAUUCUAAUAAAUAUAGAUUUAGUAAAUAAAAUUUUAUGUGAUUAAAAAGUCUUAUUUGUUAGGAAAGUAACUGAAUAACAAUUUUGUUUAGCAUAAAAUCCGAUUUAAUGAAUAUAAAAGGUGACGAUAUACUUUUAAUUGGUAAGAAUAAUUCUUCAAUGCUCAAAAACUUAGUAAAAACAAUUCUAUGCAGUGUUAUUAUGAUUUAUUUGAAUAAAAUAAAAAUUUAAACAAAUAGAACACAUGAAGAGUUCAAGUUAUAAUUGAUAUUGGCCAAACAAAAUCAAAUACUCUUGGUAGAAAGGAUAUUUGAAACGUUAAUAUAUUUUCGACUUCUUUUAUUGUUUUUUUUGGUAUCAUAAUUACAGUGAAUCACUUAUAUAAGGUAAACUCUCCAUUGAUUUUUAAAUUUCUUUUUUUUUCAUAGUUUAAAUAAGAAGAGAUAUAAUAAAUAGAAUUUUAGUUGAUGUAAAAGUCCUAAAUAUUAGGAAGAUAAGUAAAAUUACAAAUUUAUUCAAUGUAAACUUUAUUUUUAAAGGGUAGAAAAGGCAAACGACAUUUCGCUAAGCGCCUUCAUGAUUUUAAUAUAGUAUAGAUAUAUACGCGCUUUGCGCAUGUUUUACAUGUCAGUGAAUAAAUAAUUUUUAAAAAAUAAGAUAAAUAUUAAAAAAAUUAAAUUAUAAAAUAAAAUACAUAUUUAGUGUUUGCAAACUCCGAGGAAAUUUUACUAAUUUAGAAUAUAUUUUUAUUUAUAUUGUGCAUAAUUUUUGAAGGUUGAAAUAAUUAUUGACUAUAGUCGUCAAUAUUAUACAAACAAAUCAAUAAAUAAAACCUUAAUUGGUUUUAAGGCUCUAAAUAAUAAAGAUAUUAUAAUUAAAAAAUAGACUACACUUUAAUGGCAUAAGUAUAUUUUCAAGAAAAUAAUUGUAUAAGAUAAUGUAUAUACAAUAGUUUAAUUAUUUAAUUUGAGAAAAAAAUGUAUAAGAUAAUGUAUAUACAAUAGUUUAAUUAUUUAAUUUGAGAAAAAAUGUAUAUUGCAUGGAACUUUGAAAUGCUUUACAAAAAUAUAUGUACAUUCCUAAUGUGUAUGUACUUGCAAAAAAUAAAGUAUGGAGGAAAAGAGCUGAAAAGAGCAAAACCUCUUUUCCAAAAUUAUUUGAUUUAUAUAAGAUAAAUUUUAAUUGAUUUUUAUAUCCUCAAUAUUAUGAUUUAUUUCCUAUGUAGUAAUUGAAGUAAGAAAAACUUUAAUAAGAAAUUUUUUAUUUAAUUUCAAAAUGCAAAAUAUUAGAAAAAUAAUAAAAUGACUAUUUUAUCCAAUAUAAACUCUAUUUUAAGAGUGUUAAAGAGACGAAUAAUAUUUCUCUAAGGUAUUGGAUUUUAACUAAUUAGUUAAUUCACACAUUUAAUUAUUUAUUCUCAACAUUAAGAAAAAUAUUUUCUUAUUAAUUCAAAUUUGUAAUAUUAGUUCAUCCCAAAUUUUAAAUUGUUUAACUACAUCUACACUAAUGUUUAAUUGUAACUAUAUUUUUAUCUAAUAAGAAUUGUAUGUUCAAAAGAUAGAAAAAUCGGUUUGAGGUUCACUUGAAAAUUUUUAGGUUAGUUUAAAGUCCUAAUGUUAGAAAGGUAAUUAUUAUAUUCUUUUCAAUGUAAUCUAUUUUAAACUACAAAAAAUCAACCAACAUUUGGUUAUAUUAAAUUCUAAAAUUAAUUAUUUCUUUAACCAUUUUAUUAGAGUGUAAAAAUUCAAAAUCUGAAUAUAUUAGAGUAAACACCAAAUUGAUAAGAAUAAUACAACGAAAAAUAAAAACCUUGAGUCACAAUGUCACCAUUUAUAUACGUUUGGGAAACUUUAAUUAGGGUGUGAUAAUAAUCCUAAAUAUUAGGAUCUCUUAUCUAGUUUAAUAAGGAAAGAUUUAGCAAUAAAAUAUUUAAUUUAUUUUAAAGUUUUAAAUAUUAAAAAGAUAAUAUAAAUUACAAUUAUGUCCAAUGUGAAAUAUAGUUUUAAGGGGUAAAAAAGGCGAACGAUAUUUCGCUAAGGGCCUUCGUGCUUUUAAUAUAGUAUAGAUAAGUCAAAGACCGGGCAUCAAUAGACUAUAAAAAGUGGAAUAUAUUUUAGUAUCUUGUAAGUUUAAGAAACUAAGAGGCCAAGUUACUACUUAGUGAAAACUAUACUUUAUAAUAAUAGUCGCUCCCAAN